rnacentral:rRNA from 1 species
UACAGAGGUCCCAAGCGUUGUUCGGAUUCACUGGGCGUAAAGGGUGCGUAGGUGGCUUGGAAAGUUUGAUGUGAAAGCUCGGAGCUCAACUCCGAAACGGCAUUGAAUACUCUCAAGCUUGAGGGUCGGAGGGGAGACUGGAAUUCUCGGUGUAGCAGUGAAAUGCGUAGAUAUCGAGAGGAACACCAGUGGCGAAGGCGAGUCUCUGGACGAGCCCUGACACUGAGGCACGAAAGCUAGGGGAGCAAACAGG